AACGAACGCUGGCGGCAUGCCUAACACAUGCAAGUCGAACGAGACCUUCGGGUCUAGUGGCGCACGGGUGCGUAACGCGUGGGAACCUGCCCUUAGCUUCGGAAUAACUCCCCGAAAGGGGUGCUAAUACCGUAUAAGCUCUUCGGACCAAAGAUUUAUCGCCUUUGGAUGGGCCCGCGUUGGAUUAGCUAGUUGGUAGGGUAAAAGCCUACCAAGGCGACGAUCCAUAGCUGGUCUGAGAGGAUGAUCAGCCACACUGGGACUGAGACACGGCCCAGACUCCUACGGGAGGCAGCAGUGGGGAAUAUUGGACAAUGGGCGAAAGCCUGAUCCAGCAAUGCCGCGUGAGUGAUGAAGGCCUUAGGGUUGUAAAGCUCUUUUACCCGGGAUGAUAAUGACAGUACCGGGAGAAUAAGCCCCGGCUAACUCCGUG
rnacentral:rRNA from 1 species